UACGGAGGAUGCAAGCGUUAUCCGGAUUUAUUGGGUUUAAAGGGUGCGCAGGCGGAAAAAUAAGUCAGUGGUGAAAUCCUGCAGCUUAACUGUAGAAUUGCCGUUGAUACUGUUAUUCUUGAGUGUGGUCAAGGUAGGCGGAAUGUGUAAUGUAGCGGUGAAAUGCUUAGAUAUUACACAGAACACCGAUUGCGAAGGCAGCUUACUGGGCCAUUACUGACGCUCAUGCACGAAAGCGUGGGGAUCGAACAGGAUUAGAUACCCUGGUAGUCCACGCCGUAAACGAUGAUCACUCGCUGUUGGCGAUACACAGUCAGCGGCUAAGCAAAAGCAUUAAGUGAUCCACCUGGGGAGUACGACCGCAAGGUUGAA
rnacentral:rRNA from 1 species